CCUACGGGUGGCAGCAGUGAGGAAUAUUGGUCAAUGGACGAAAGUCUGAACCAGCCAUGCCGCGUGAAGGAUGACUGCUCUAUGGGUUGUAAACUGCUUUUAUACAGGAAUAAAGUUCAGUACGUAUAUUCAUCUGUACGUACUAUACGAAUAAGGAUCGGCUAACUCCGUGCCAGCAGCCGCGGUAAUACGGAGGAUCCGAGCGUUAUCCGGAUUUAUUGGGUUUAAAGGGUGCGUAGGCGGAAGGAUAAGUUAGAGGUGAAAGGUCGCGGCUAAACCGGUGAACUGCCGUUGAUACUGUUGAUCUUGAGUGCAGGAGAGGUAGGCGGAAUGCAUGGUGUAGCGGUGAAAUGCGUAGAGAUCACGCAGAACACCGAUUGCGAAGGCAGCUUACUGAACUGUAACUGACGUUGAGGCACGAAAGUGUGGGGAGCAAACAGGAUUAGAUACCCCUGUAGUC
rnacentral:rRNA from 1 species